rnacentral:lncRNA from 1 species
GGCAGAUGUUGACAAGAACUUGCCUAUCAACCACGGAAUAGAGACCAGCUUGAAACUCAAGAGACCUUCCACUCCGAUAUUCUUAACUGGCCUUCAGACUCCAUCAUCCAGUGAGCUGCAAGAGAGACUUCAGUCUGUCUCAGGUAAGAUUAUCUUUUGUUUUCUUCUCCUAAGUAAGAGCAGUUUAGAGAUAAAGAUGAGAUUGAGCUUAUUCUCCCGUAACUCUGACCUGUUGCCUUGAGUACCAGUCAGGUUUCCAGAUGGUUUUUAUGUGUUGCUGGUUUGGGGUGCCUUUUCUGUGAUUGGGUUCCUCUCUUGUGCUCCAGUGCUAGUGAUCCCUUUGGGUGGGGUCACACACAUAUCAGCUAUCCUGCACAUCAGAUAUUUACAUUAUGAUUCAUAACCAUAGCAAAAUGACAGUUAUGAGGCAGCAAUGAAAAUAAUUUUAUGGUUGGGGGUCACCACAACAUGAGGAACUUAAGAGCCACAGCAAUAGGAAGGUUGAGAGCCACUGUUUUAGAAGAAAGAGCUGAGGAAACAUUUGUGGACUAACUUGCCUCAGUACUCUCUUUCUGUGUCUCAAACCUAUGCCUUCAGAGAACCUUGACGUCAUCUCAAAACUAUUAGUAGAACUGGUUUGUGCACAGUUCUUCAUGCUUGUACCAGAAAUACACAUGAGA